AAAGCGUUUGCGGAGACUUCAAGAAAAGAAAAAGAAAAAAAUGUCAUUAGAAGAGGCGUAACACGUCAGUCCGUCCCCAGGUUUGUGUUUCCUGGAGUGGCCGAAAAGAGAUCAGUUCUAACCUGCUCCGCAGGAAUAACGGUCCUGCCUCCCGACACUCUUGGCGAGGUUUUGUUCAGUUUGCUCCGGGAGCUGUUUCUUCGCCUCCACCUUUUUCUCCCCCACACUUCGCGGCUUCUUCAUGCUUUUUCUUCUCACCAUUUCUGGCCAAAACUACAAACAAGACUUCGCAGAUCGAGCCUGCGUGCUGCCGGAGCAGGGCGCCGAGUCCAUGCGAACUGCCAUCUGAUCCGCUCUUAUCAAUGAAGCAGCCGAUCAUGGCGGAUGGCCCCCGGUGCAAGAGGCGCAAACAAGCCAAUCCCAGGAGGAAAAACGGUAAGAAGAGGCCCGAACCAAACUUUUCCGGGCCACUCCGCGCCCCGGACACCGGGCAGGGAG